rnacentral:rRNA from 1 species
AUUGAACGCUGGCGGCAGGCCUAACACAUGCAAGUCGAGCGGAUGAAGGGAGCUUGCUCCUGGAUUCAGCGGCGGACGGGUGAGUAAUGCCUAGGAAUCUGCCUGGUAGUGGGGGAUAACGUCCGGAAACGGGCGCUAAUACCGCAUACGUCCUGAGGGAGAAAGUGGGGGCUCUUCGGACCUCACGCUAUCAGCUCAGCCUAGGUCGGAUUAGCUAGUUGGUGGGGUAAAGGCCUACCAAGGCGACGAUCCGUAGCUGGUCUGAGAGGAUGAUCAGUCACACUGGAACUGAGACACGGUCCAGACUCCUACGGGAGGCAGCAGUGGGGAAUAUUGGACAAUGGGCGAAAGCCUGAUCCAGCCAUGCCGCGUGUGUGAAGAAGGUCUUCGGAUUGUAAAGCACUUUAAGUUGGGAGGAAGGGCAGUAAGUUAAUACCUUGCUGUUUUGACGGUACCAACAGAAUAAGCACCGGCUAACUUCGUG